rnacentral:rRNA from 1 species
CCUACGGGCGACAGCAGUGAGGAAUAUUGGUCAAUGGACGAGAGUCUGAACCAGCCAAGUAGCGUGAAGGAUGACUGCCCUAUGGGUUGUAAACUUCUUUUAUAUGGGAAUAAAAUGUUCCAAGUGGGGGAUUUUGUAUGUACCAUCUGAAUAAGGAUCGGCAAACCCCGUGCCAGCAGCCGCGGUACUACGGAGGAUCCGAGCGUUAUCCUGAUUUAUUGGGUUUAAAGGGAGUGUAGGUAGAUUGUUAAGUCAGUUGUGAAAGUUUGCGGCUCAACCGUAAAAUUGCAGUUGAAACUGGCAGUCUUGAGUACAGUAGAGGUGAGCGGAAUUCGUGGUGUAGCGGUGAAAUGCUUAGAUAUCACGAAGAACUCCGAUUGCGAAGGCAGUUCACUGGACUGCAACUGACACUGAGGCUCGAAAGUGUGGGUAUCAAACAGGAUUAGAUACCCGUGUAGUC